rnacentral:rRNA from 1 species
UACGUAGGUGGCAAGCGUUGUCCGGAUUUAUUGGGUUUAAAGGGUGCGUAGGCGGUCCUAUAAGUCAGUGCUGAAAUAUCCCGGCUUAACCGGGAGGGUGGCAUUGAUACUGCAGGACUUGAGUAGAGUCGAAGUAGGCGGAAUUGACGGUGUAGCGGUGAAAUGCUUAGAUAUCGUCAAGAACACCGAUAGUGAAGACAGCUUACUAGGCUCAAACUGACGCUGAGGCACGAAAGUGUGGGGAUCAAACAGG